CAAUAGCGUAUAUUUAAGUUGUUGCAGUUAAAAAGCUCGUAGUUGGAUUUCUGGGAGGGUGCCAAUGUCCGCCGACGUGCGUGCGCAGCGGCGCCCUUCCAUCCUUCUGUUAACGCCUCUUGGCAUUCAUUUGCUGGUGGCGGGCUCAGAUAUUUUACCUUGAGAAAAUUAGAGUGUUUCAGGCAGGCUAGGCCGGAAUACAUUAGCAUGGAAUAAUGGAAUAGGACUACGGUCUCUUUGUUGGUUUGAGGGACUGCAGUAAUGAUUAAUAGGGAUAGUUGGGGGCAUUAGUAUUUAAUUGUCAGAGGUGGAAUUCUCGGAUUUGUUAAAGACUAACUUAUGCGAAAGCAUUUGCCAAGGAUGUUUUCAUUAA
rnacentral:rRNA from 1 species